CCGAUAGCGUAUAUUAAAGUUGUUGCAGUUAAAAAGCUCGUAGUUGAAUUUCGGGAUCAGCAGGUUGGUCGUGCCAAUGGUAUGCACUGGCCUUGCUGAUUCCUCCCUCUUGAUGAGCCGUAAUGCCAUUAAUUUGGUGUUGCGGGGAAUCAGGACUGUUACUUUGAAAAAAUUAGAGUGUUUAAAGCAGGCAAGCGCUUGAAUACAUUAGCAUGGAAUAAUGAAAUAGGACGUUUGAUCCUAUUUUGUUGGUUUCUAGGAUUGACGUAAUGAUUAAUAGGGAUAGUUGGGGGCAUUAGUAUUCAAUUGUCAGAGGUGAAAUUCUUGGAUUUAUUGAAGACUAACUACUGCGAAAGCAUUUGCCAAGGAUGUUUUCAUUAAUCAAGAACGAAAGUUAGGGGAUCGAAGACGAUCAGAUACCGUCGUAGUCUUAACCAUAAACUAUGCCGACUAGGGAUCGGAUGAUGUUAAUUUUUUAAUGACUCAUUCGGCGCCUUACG
rnacentral:rRNA from 1 species